rnacentral:rRNA from 1 species
UACGAAGGGGGCUAGCGUUGUUCGGAAUUACUGGGCGUAAAGCGUGCGUAGGCGGUGUCUUAAGUUUGUUGUGAAAUCUCCCGGCUUAACCGGGAGGGUGCGGCGAAUACUGAGAUGCUGGAGUGCGGGAGAGGUAAGCGGAAUUCCUGGUGUAGCGGUGAAAUGCGUAGAUAUCAGGAGGAACACCUGCGGUGUAGACGGCUUACUGGACCGUAACUGACGCUGAGGCACGAAAGCGUGGGUAGCAAACAGG